UUACGGCCAUAACACGUUGAUACUGCCGGUUUCCGUACGAUCUCCGAAGUUAAGCAACGUCGAGCUUGUACAGUAUAUAGAUAUGUGACCGUUCG